rnacentral:rRNA from 1 species
UACGUAGGGUGCAAGCGUUGUCCGGAAUUAUUGGGCGUAAAGAGCUUGUAGGCGGUCUGUCGCGUCUGCUGUGAAAAUCCGGGGCUCAACCCCGGACUUGCAGUGGGUACGGGCAGACUAGAGUGUGGUAGGGGAGACUGGAAUUCCUGGUGUAGCGGUGAAAUGCGCAGAUAUCAGGAGGAACACCGAUGGCGAAGGCAGCUCGCUGGGACGUGACUGACGCUGAGACGCGAAAGCGUGGGGAGCAAACAGG